rnacentral:rRNA from 1 species
GACGAACGCUGGCGGCGUGCUUAACACAUGCAAGUCGAGCGGUAAGGCCCUUUCGGGGGUACGACGAGCGGCGAACGGGUGAGUAACACGUGGGUGACCUGCCCUCAGCUCUGGGAUAAGCCUGGGAAACCGGGUCUAAUACCGGAUAUGACUCCAUGACGCAUGUUGUGGGGUGGAAAGCCUUGUGCGGCUGAGGAUGGGCCCGCGGCCUAUCAGCUUGUUGGUGGGGUGAUGGCCUACCAAGGCGACGACGGGUAGCCGGCCUGAGAGGGCGACCGGCCACACUGGGACUGAGACACGGCCCAGACUCCUACGGGAGGCAGCAGUGGGGAAUCUUGCGCAAUGGGCGAAAGCCUGACGCAGCGACGCCGCGUGAGGA